rnacentral:rRNA from 1 species
GAUGAACGCUGGCGGCGUGCCUAAUACAUGCAAGUCGAGCGAACAGACGAGGAGCUUGCUCCUCUGACGUUAGCGGCGGACGGGUGAGUAACACGUGGAUAACCUACCUAUAAGACUGGGAUAACUUCGGGAAACCGGAGCUAAUACCGGAUAAUAUAUUGAACCGCAUGGUUCACUAGUGAAAGACGGUUUUGCUGUCACUUAUAGAUGGAUCCGCGCCGCAUUAGCUAGUUGGUAAGGUAACGGCUUACCAAGGCAACGAUGCGUAGCCGACCUGAGAGGGUGGUCGGCCACACUGGAACUGAGACACGGUCCAGACUCCUACGGGAGGCAGCAGUAGGGAAUCUUCCGCAAUGGGGGAAAGCCUGACGGAGCAACGCCGCGUGAGUGAUGAAGGUCUUCGGAUCGUAAAACUCUGUUAUUAGGGAAGAACAAAUGUGUAAGUAACUAUGCACGUCUUGACGGUACCUAAUCAGAAAGCCACGGCUAACUACGUG